UACGGAGGGAGCUAGCGUUGUUCGGAUAUACUGGGCGUAAAGCGCACGUAGGCGGCGCCGUAAGUCAGGGGUGAAAUCCCGGAGCUCAACUCCGGAACUGCCUUUGAAACUGCGGUGCUAGAAUCCUGGAGAGGCGAGUGGAAUUCCGAGUGUAGAGGUGAAAUUCGUAGAUAUUCGGAAGAACACCAGUGGCGAAGGCGACUCGCUGGACAGGUAUUGACGCUGAGGCGCGAAAGCCAGGGGAGCAAACGGG
rnacentral:rRNA from 1 species